rnacentral:rRNA from 1 species
UACAGAGGGUGCGAGCGUUGUUCGGAAUUAUUGGGCGUAAAGGGCGCGUAGGCGGUGCGGUAAGUCACCUGUGAAAUCUCCUGGCUCAACUGGGAGCUUGCAGGCGAAACUGCCGUGCUGGAGUGUGGGAGAGGUGAGUGGAAUUCCCGGUGUAGCGGUGAAAUGUGUUGAUAUUGGAAGGAACGCCGGUGGCGAAAGCGACACACUGGACCUUGUCUGACGCUGAGGCACGAAAGCCAGGGGAGCAAACGGG